GACGAACGCUGGCGGCGUGCUUAACACAUGCAAGUCGUACGGUUAGGCCCUUUCGGGGGUACACGAGUGGCGAACGGGUGAGUAACACGUGAGUAACCUGCCCACAACUUUGGGAUAACGCUAGGAAACUGGUGCUAAUACUGGAUAUGUGCUCCUGCUGCAUGGUGGGGGUUGGAAAGCUCCGGCGGUUGUGGAUGGACUCGCGGCCUAUCAGCUUGUUGGUGGGGUAGUGGCCCACCAAGGCGGCGACGGGUAGCCGGCCUGAGAGGGUGACCGGCCACAUUGGGACUGAGAUACGGCCCAGACUCCUACGGGAGGCAGCAGUGGGGAAUAUUGCACAAUGGGCGCAAGCCUGAUGCAGCAACGCCGCGUGCGGGAUGACGGCCUUCGGGUUGUAAACCGCUUUCAGCAGGGACGAAGCUUUUUGUGACGGUACCUGCAGAAGAAGCACCGGCUAACUACGUG
rnacentral:rRNA from 1 species